CCGGAGGAAGGUGGGGAUGACGUCAAGUCAUCAUGGCCCUUAGGCCUGGGCUACACACGUGCUACAAUGGUCGGUACAAAGGGUUGCCAAGCCGCGAGGUGGAGCUAAUCCCAUAAAACCCGAAUCCGUAGUCCGGAUCGCAGUCUGCAACUCGACUGCGUGAAGUCGGAAUCGCUAGUAAUCGUGAAUCAGAAUGUCACGGUGAAUACGUUCCCGGGCCUU
rnacentral:rRNA from 1 species